AGAUUGAACGCUGGCGGCAUGCUUUACACAUGCAAGUCGAACGGCAGCGCGGGGCAACCUGGCGGCGAGUGGCGAACGGGUGAGUAAUAUAUCGGAACGUACCCAAGAGUGGGGGAUAACGUAGCGAAAGUUACGCUAAUACCGCAUACGAUCUAAGGAUGAAAGCAGGGGACCGCAAGGCCUUGUGCUCCUGGAGCGGCCGAUAUCUGAUUAGCUAGUUGGUAGGGUAAAGGCCUACCAAGGCUACGAUCAGUAGCUGGUCUGAGAGGACGACCAGCCACACUGGAACUGAGACACGGUCCAGACU
rnacentral:rRNA from 1 species